UUUUUCAUAGGGUUGGUGUGUUAACAUUAGAUUAACACUGAAAUAAUGUCAGCUGCAGCAUAUUGAUUUUAUAGCACCAAGUAAAACGUUCUGACACCUUUAUAGCAGUCAAUUACAUUAAAAAUAAAAAAACAAGAUACUAAUCAUACUACUUUAGCAUCGUUACUACUUUAGCAUCACCUAAAACUGGUUCGUUUACCCCUAGAGAGGGAGCAUACAACUGUUUCAAUUUUAAUAUGUGAAAAAAAAAAAAAAAGACGUUCUUCUUAUAUAACAUGGCCCUGGACGAAUCGGUGACUAGGGCCCUGGAAGGACUGAGGGCUUUGUCUAAUGAGAUGCAGGAACACUGAGGUAUUAAUAACCCCAUUGAUAAGUUGUUUACUGAUAUGUUUGGGAAUUAAAAGGGAGUAAUAAUAUUGAUUAUGCAUUCUCUGGAGAUAUUUUUGAGGAUGUUGGUUACUUUUGGUAGUUGUUGCAUACCAUGUUUUGGGUCAUUGUGUAACAGAAUGAUUGUUGCAGCAAUUAAGAAGAAAGAGGUUCCGCCUCCUUACAGUAUGCCACUGCUGGGAAUAAGAGAUGUUGACUCUAAGGAAGAAGAAGCAGAAGUGUGAUCUCUAAAGAGAUCAAGAGAGGGAAUUGAAGGAAUAAAAUUACAGUCUAAUGCUUCUUUUGAAUUAUAUACAUGUGGUCAUGCUUAUUUUGCAUAUGUAUAUGUGUUUGCUUGAACCAUGAUAAUCUAAUGAGUCCACGCAGUGAUAUGAUGAGACAUUUCUGUUGCAGCUGUGAUGUGUGACUUUUCUACACAAAAAAGAGAACUGGAGCAGAUGAGGAAAAUAUUGCUUUAUUGUCUUACUAAUCACUCUUUUCUUUAUAUUUAUUUUUGUUAUUGGAGGAAUAUACUCCCAUCUACCUCACUAUUCAUUAUUUACAAUAUGUGUUUUUGUCAGAUAUGAUGAUGUCUCCUGAUAUAGCGUACUUCUACUUAACCCCUGUUAUAAUGCGUUUCUAACUAACUGCUAAAACCACAAGAGCUGUGUGUGGGUGCUGGCUGGAGACAGAUCUGCAAGAGGGGCUUCCCCUAGAUGGGUGCAUACACAGGUCAAGAGUUCAUAGACAGGACUAUGAGGAAAAGCAGAUAGGUAUCUCUGUGUGCAGACCACAGACUUUUGAGAGAUGAUUCUGCCUGAAAACAGCUGAUGGCAACAAUAGAGAUUGGGGGUAACUGAUUAGAGGAGUGGCCAAAAAGAUUGAACGCUGCUGAUGGAUAAAAGGAGGGAGUCGAAAGAGUUCGAGAGCUUUUGGACAUCCAGACUGCUUGGCUGACGGUUCUUCAAAAGCCCAGGAUCCUGAUCUUCGCUUUAUUCACUUAUGCUCGAUAAAUAAAUUCAUUGAUUUUGAUUAAUUGA